rnacentral:rRNA from 1 species
CAAGUCGAGCGAGACCUUCGGGUCUAGCGGCGGACGGGUUAGUAACGCGUGGGAACGUACCUUUUGCUUCGGAAUAGCCUCGGGAAACUGGGAGUAAUACCGAAUGUGCCCUUUGGGGGAAAGAUUUAUCGGCAAAAGAUCGGCCCGCGUCUGAUUAGAUAGUUGGUGGGGUAAUGGCCUACCAAGUCUGCGAUCAGUAGCUGGUUUGAGAGGAUGAUCAGCAACACUGGGACUGAGACACGGCCCAGACUCCUACGGGAGGCAGCAGUGGGGAAUCUUAGACAAUGGGCGCAAGCCUGAUCUAGCGAUGCCGCGUGAGUGACGAAGGCCUUAGGGUCGUAAAGCUCUUUCGCCAGGGAUGAUAAUGACAGUACCUGGUAAAGAAACCCCGGCUAACUCCGUGCCAGCACCCGGCGGUAAUA